AAAAACGCGUGGAAAAGGACGAGUAGCGCCCCUGUAACCGUACAGAGAGCCGCCGUUUGGGUGAGAGGCGGACGGAGAAGGGGUGGGAAGAUCACCUUGGAGCGUUCCGCUGAAGGAGGAGUAGGCGGCUACGGUUGGCCCCGUUACCGGCCAUGCGAGGGGCCGCGGCAUGUCCGCGGCAAGAAGAGUGGUACCGCAGAGGCUUUCAACGCCUUUGUCUCUUUU
rnacentral:ncRNA from 1 species